CUGCUAUGUCAUAAGGACACUCAGGCAACCCCUUGGAGAGGCCCAUGGGAGGAGGAACUGAGGCCUCCAGCCAACAGUCCUGUGAGUGAGUCCUCUAGGAAGCGGAUCCUUCAGCUGUAGUGAAACCUUCAGGUGCCUGCAGACCUGGCUGACAUCUGGACUUCAUCCCUCGGAGAGACCCUAAGCCAGCACCAGUGUUCCCAGAUUCUUGACCCACAAAAUGUGUGAACUUGCCUCCUGGAAGAUGACAAACCAUGUGGAACAGAGCCAAUCCUGCCAGCUGAGGCCAAUUUACAUCAGCCAACUGGCAGCUUCUCAUCAUGUAAUUGAGCCCCAGUCAAGACCAGAAGAGCUGCCUAACUAAGCUGAGCGAGACUGGCAGAACUUCUCAACUCAUAAACUCACAAAUUUAGGGGUAGUUGUGACACAGAAUUAUGGCUUUAUUGUAUGCACUGUAUUUAUUGUACUGCAUUAUACAGAUGGCAAUCAAGGAGAUGGUGAAAAGUCAGUGGAUUCUGAGUAUCUACAGAUAGAAGAACCAAUUGGCUGAGUGAGAGAAGUUGCAUGACUCCAAGGUUCUGCCCUGGACCACUAGAAAAAUGAAUAUGGAUAAUAGAGGUGGAUAUUGAAUCCAAAUUGAAUCUUUGGUCAAUAUAUUGUGACACAUUCAAAUGAAAAUCAUAACAUAAAAAUUGUCCCGAAUGUAUAUAGUUUUGUAAAGUAGUUCUGCUCUUCCUGAAGGGAAAACUAAAAAAUAAGCAUGACUUUGGCUAGAGACACAGAGAAAUAGAAAACCUGCUUCUCAUAGUCAUUCUGCUAGAGGAAAUAUAUCAAAGUCAUGCAGCCCAAUUGUUUAAUUUAAUAACCAGAAUUUGGAUAAAUAUUUCUCCAUCACUUGUGGAACUGGACUCUGGUAGAUGCUGACCCUUUACCUGACUAGUGCAUGCCCCCCAGCUGCUGUGACUGCUACUGCUAAUAGCUCGCAGUUGCCCAUUCUGAGCACUGCCUUGAGCCGGUGGGGCCCGCAUCCCAGGAGAUGCCCAGGAGGAUGCAAUCCACCACUCAUGCAUCAAAUGAGCAGUGCAGGGUUAACAGCUGGUGCCAUUCACACUCCAGAGCUCCUCCUGUGAUCAGGCUGAGGCUAGAUUUCAGUUACAUCCCUGUGGCUGCUUAGCUCCCUUCCCUGGCGCUCUUCUGCUUUCCUCAGUCUCUUACAGGUCUCCCCUGAGAGCAUUCCCUCAAUAAAUCGCUUGAACAAGAAUCUCUGUUUCGUGCUUUGUUUCAAGGGAAACUGAAAUAAGACACAAGGCAUCAGUCAAAUUGCCAAGUACUCCUAGGCUAUUGCUAUCAUAGGAAGACAAGUAUUUUUAUUAUUUUUUAUGUUCAGACAACUGACUUUAUUGUCAGGACACAUGAGCAUAUCAUCAGUCUCAUGGACAUGUUGAAGAAACAUGCAAUGCGAUGUUUUCUAUGUUUAAUUGAAUGAUACCAGAGAAAGAAACCAUCUUUACAGUUUUCUGAAAAUAGAUUUUAUUUAUCAAGGCAAUAAUUGUUAGCAGAAAUCUUAGAAUGUUUAUUACAUCGUAAAUUGUUAGUAACUUGGACUGAUGGAAAAAGUUAACCUGAAUUAACGGUAAAGAAAUGCAAGUAUUAAAUGUCCCUAGCUUGGUGGCUUUUUACCAAAAUGUUCACUUCAUCUUUGGAAAGCAUCGUGUUAGCAGCCUUUUGUACAAAUAUGGUAAUUUGCACAUUGAUUUUUUAUAAAAUGAUUGAUGUGAAAUUUGGAAAAAAAGAAAAUGAGUAUUAAAUAUACAGAAAAGGAUUAAUUUGAAGAAGACUUACAUGUAAAUAUCAUUUUAACCAACUCCAUGGGAUUCCUAAGUUCUUUAAACUGUAUUUUGUUUAAUUUGUUUUAUCAACAAUUGUUUGCUAAAAAUAUAUCACUAGAGAGAAUAUACUGUUAUGAUUAUAAAUGUUGUGUUGAAUUUGACCUGUAGCUGCAUCUAUGUAUAAAAAUGUUAGACC